UUCUGAAUCUCAUGGUUGAACAUAGGGUGUGCCGAUAGAUAAUAGUAUCAUGUCAUAUCGCCUGUUGCUGAUGCCUUUGACGAUAGCAAAAUAUUAGCAAAUAUUAUUAUUAUCCGUUAAAAAUACACUAGGCGGCUAUCUUAAGUGAAGCAGCAUGGAGCAGCUGGUAUAAACACAAGCAUUGACUAUACUGGCUGCGAUCAGCUCGUGGCCUUGUCAGAGUUGUAAUGCGCCACAUACGUGUGCAAUGUAAAUAAGGGGUAAGAGAUUUUUUCAACAUAAAAUUUACAUUGCUUCACUGAUUAUAACAGAAUUUUGUGUUUUUGCACCGAUUGAGCUUGACUGACUGCUGAGUACAGCAGAGGCAGGAAUUGUGUACUGGGGUUGCUUGAGUCAUCCAAACUUAAUAAAUAAUAUGGGCACAAAACUUGCUACAAGAGCUAUAUCCACUAUUACGAACAACAGAGUAAUAUUUGACAAGUUAUGUCUUUCAGAUUAUGAAAUGUAUCAAACACAAAUCUUAAAAUCCUCUGGGAGGUCUUUCUCAGAGCAGAGUAACAGGUCCUCUGCACAUGAAUCAAGACGAACAGGGCCUCGUAGGGAAACAGACUUAAGAUUUCCAAUGGAUAUGGCAAAGUUUCAGAAAAAAGUUUUGUCUAAAUUGGUGGAAAUCCACAUGGAGGUCAGAAGGCUGGGAAGAAGCGAGCCUCCCCUUUCAUCCACCCAUAUACAGCAGCUGGAGAUGAUGGAAGACUUUGCGAGAGAGGAGGAACGCCUCAAGGACAUCUUGACUUAAGAACUUUAAUACAGCUGCUUUAAUAAGAAUCAAGUGUUACACAGUGAUGUGUAUAUAAUGCUUUAUAUUUCUUCAUUCAAUUUCUUGAAUGCUACUGCUAAAUACACCUACUGUACCUAAAAACAAAGCACUGCUUGUUUUAUUUGUAUAUUAUGUGUAUUUUUAAUGUGUAUCUUUGUUCUUAUUUUUUAAUAACAAAGAUAACAUAAUGACAAAGUUUUUAUCUUUGCCCAUUUUGGCCUAAAUGUCUGACUAAGGUUUUUAUUUUAUACUGUGUUACCUUGUAAGGCUUUGUUUUUAAAAUAGGGAAAUUAGUUUGGCUGUACUGCUCAGACAACUUGCAAAAUAGUAAAACCAACACGACAAAGAAUCGUGAUAAAAUCGUAAAUGUGAUUUUCCUGAAAAACAAUUUUAAAUUAUAUUUUUGCCAUAUCGCCCACCCCGCGUGCAAGUUAAUCCUCAGAAAAAAAUAGU
ensembl:lncRNA